GCCGGAGUGGCGGAAUUGGCAGACGCGUAGCACUCAAAAUGCUAUGAGGGCAACUUCGUGUGGGUUCAAGUCCCACCUUCGGCAC
rnacentral:tRNA from 1 species